GCGGACUGCCUAUUACCUAACUGACAAAGGUUCGAAACCAGUUGAGAACAUUUUAUGGUUAGAGGCAAGUCGAACUCCUAACAAAGAUUAGUCCCAUCAUUCGAGUAUGUGGACACCUCGUUGCAUAUAUCCAAAAACCUACAAGUCCUUUGCUGACGUGGAAAGAUAGUUAAUGGACCUACAAGUUGUUGUUUUAUAUCUGAUUUUCUAUACAUAAAAAAUCCAAUUAGAUUCAUUAUUUGGUUUUUUAAAAAUCCAAGUAAAAUCUUGACACGUGAAGGUAACACCAAAUUAUAUGUUGUGUUGUCUUACAAACUCAAUGCAAAUUAUAUAACAAGUACAUAUCCUAUGUGCUGUUACAUCACAUCAUCACUCAACUAGUUCAUCAAAUUUUGGACUUAUGCACUGCUGUUUGUGCAAAGUUUGCUUCAAAUAUCGGCCAGAUGUUACAACAUGUUGCAUCCUUAUAAUGUGGGAGACUGGGAGCACCACUAAAAUUGAACUCCAAAGAAAUUGAGAUAAACUCUGCUGUCUUCAUCUUCUUUCUAUUUUUCUUCCCUCUUGCACAAAAGCCAGGGUCCCGAUCAGCUAAUUAAUCAUACCUGUACUCAUGUGAAAUUUUCUUGCGUGUGUCACUUCUAUAUCCCUACCAAUGGAAACCGGUGCAUGUAUAGAGCUCAUGUGUCAUUUUCUUUUCUAUGCCACUAGCUUUCAAGAAAUAAAUGACCCCGGCAACAUUAGAAGAGUUGUUUGAGAGAUUGUUCUCUGUUUUGGUCUUCUUAAAGCAAUGAUUGUUGCUAAUUUAUGGAUCAUCCUCAUCUGUAACUCCAAUUAAGCUGGACUUAAAAGUUGUAUAUGUUGUUCUCACUAUCUUACAAUGUUUGUGUCUGUUUAGUCAUUGAAAAGUUCACUAAAUGGAUUCUCAAGGUGGGCCUAUGGAUUCAAUUUCAACCUAUUCAAGUUUAUGACAUUUCAACCUAUUCAAGUUAAUUGCGUCCCUACACUGUGGUAAUAAAAUCCCUAUAGCUUGUGCUGAGUUCAAAUCCACACACCCUUUAUUGUUGGGCUUUUUAUUUAUUUAUCACAAAUGGUCCUGGGUUUGUGAAAUUAUCAUUCGUCUUUAAUUUUUUUUUUUUAUGACACUAAUGAUCCUUCAAGUUAACCUCUUUAAUUUUUUUUUUUAUGACACUAAUGAUCCUUCAAGUUAGCCUCCGCAUAUAUAUCAAAAUAGUCAUUGUCGUUUACUUCCGUCAAAUUUUCUGUUAAAUUGAUGAUGUGGUACCCACACAGCCAAUGGUAUUGAGCCACGUGGAAACAUGAAGUGAGUUCUUGAUUCGUUUUGCGAGGGAGAGCAUUUUGGAAGCACAGUUCACGGCUUUGGUGCCGAGUAGUGUUAAUAGUGGCAGUACUAUAAUCUGAGGAAAACCCGGGUUGACAAAACAAAAAAAUUAUAAUAAAAAAAACUGAGUAUAGCCGAGCGGCUAUACUAUUCCUUUUAAAAAAUUAGGGAAAACCAAGUAUUGUCGCC
rnacentral:lncRNA from 1 species